rnacentral:rRNA from 1 species
GAUGAACGCUGGCGGCGUGCCUAAUACAUGCAAGUCGAACGCAUUGUGGUUGAAAUGAUAUGAAGAACUUGUUCAGAUUUGAUUUUCAACAUUGCAAUGAGUGGCGAACGGGUGAGUAACACGUGGGAAACCUACCUCUUAGCAGGGGAUAACAUUUGGAAACAAAUGCUAAUACCGUAUAAUAAUUAAAACCGCAUGGUUUUAGUUUAAAGAUGGUCUUGCUAUCACUAAGAGAUGGUCCCGCGGUGUAUUAGUUAGUUGGUGAGGUAAUGGCUCACCAAGACAAUGAUACAUAGCCGAGUUGAGAGACCGUACGG